rnacentral:rRNA from 1 species
GAUGAACGCUAGCGACAGGCCUAACACAUGCAAGUCGAGGGGCAGCGGAGAGGUAGCAAUACCUUUGCCGGCGACCGGCGCACGGGUGAGUAACACGUAUGCAAUCCACCUGUAACAGGGGGAUAACCCGGAGAAAUCCGGACUAAUACCCCAUAAUAUGGGCGCUCCGCAUGGAGGGUCCAUUAAAGAGAGCAAUUUUGGUUACAGACGAGCAUGCGCUCCAUUAGCCAGUUGGCGGGGUAACGGCCCACCAAAGCGACGAUGGAUAGGGGCUCUGAGAGGAAGGUCCCCCACAUUGGAACUGAGACACGGUCCAAACUCCUACGGGAGGCAGCAGUGAGGAAUAUUGGUCAAUGGUCGGCAGACUGAACCAGCCAAGUCGCGUGAGGGAAGACGGCCCUACGGGUUGUAAACCUCUUUGUCGGAGAGUAAAGUACGCUACGUGUAGUGUAUUGCAAGUAUCCGAAGAAAAAGCAUCGGCUAACUCCGUGCCAGCAGCCG